rnacentral:tRNA from 1 species
GGAGCGAUGGCCGAGUGGCUGAAGGCGCGCGCCUGCUAAGCGCGUAUGAGAAAAUUAUUUCAUCCCGGGUUCGAAUCCCGGUCGCUCCG